AGAGUUUGAUCAUGGCUCAGAAUCAACGCUGGCGGCGCGCUUAACACAUGCAAGUCGCACGAGAAAGCGGGAGCAAUCUCGCAAGUACAGUGGCGUACGGGUGAGUAACACGUGGGUGAUCUACCUUUUAGUGGGGAAUAACGCUGGGAAACCGGCGCUAAUACCGCAUAAGCUCGAGAGAGGAAAGCAGCAAUGCGCUGAAAGAGGAGCCCGCGGCCGAUUAGCUGGUUGGGAGGGUAAAAGCCUACCAAGGCAAAGAUCGGUAGCCGGCCUGAGAGGGCACACGGCCACACUGGCACUGAAACACGGGCCAGACUCCUACGGGAGGCAGCAGUGGGGAAUCUUGCACAAUGGGGGCAACCCUGAUGCAGCGACGCCGCGUGAGCGAUGAAGCCCUUCGGGGUGUAAAGCUCUUUCGGCAGGGACGAUGAUGACGGUACCUGCAGAAGCAGCUGCGGCUAACUACGUGCCAGCAGCCGCGGUAAUACGUAGGCAGCGAGCGUUGUUCGGAGUUACUGGGCGUAAAGGGUGUGUAGGCGGUUUUCUAAGUUUGGUGUGAAAUCUCCCGGCUCAACCGGGAGGGUGCGCCGAAAACUGGGAGACUAGAGUGCGGGAUGGGAGAGUAGAAUUCCUGGUGUAGCGGUGAAAUGCGUAGAUAUCAGGAGGAAUACCGGUGGUGUAGACGGCUCUCUGGACCGCCACUGACGCUGAGACACGAAAGCGUGGGUAGCAAACAGGAUUAGAUACCCUGGUAGUCCACGCCCUAAACGAUGCAUAUUUGGUGUAGGUCAUUCAGUUGAUCUGUGCCGGAGCUAACGCGUUAAAUAUGCCGCCUGGGGAGUACAGUCGCAAGGCUGAAACUCAAAGGAAUUGACGGGGCCCGCACAAGCGGUGGAGCAUGUGGUUCAAUUCGACGCAACGCGAAGAACCUUACCUGGGCUCGAACGGCCGGGUUAACGGUGGUGGAAACACUGCUA
rnacentral:rRNA from 1 species